rnacentral:rRNA from 1 species
UACGUAGGGAGCAAGCGUUGUUCGGAUUUACUGGGCGUAAAGGGCGCGUAGGCGGCGCUGUAAGUCACUUGUGAAAUCUCUGGGCUUAACUCGGAACGGUCAAGUGAUACUGCAGUGCUAGAGUGCGGAAGGGGCAAUCGGAAUUCUUGGUGUAGCGGUGAAAUGCGUAGAUAUCAAGAGGAACACCGGAGGCGAAGACGGGUUGCUGGGCUGACACUGACGCUGAUGCGCGAAAGCCAGGGGAGCAAACGGG